rnacentral:rRNA from 1 species
UACGGAGGGUGCAAGCGUUGUUCGGAUUUAUUGGGCGUAAAGCGCGUGUAGGCGGUCUCUUAAGUCUGAUGUGAAAGCCCCGGGCUCAACCCGGGAAGUGCAUUGGAUACUGGGAGACUUGAAUACGGGAGAGGGUAGUGGAAUUCCUAGUGUAGGAGUGAAAUCCGUAGAUAUUAGGAAGAACACCCGUGGCUAAGGCGGCUCUCUAGUACGGUACUGACGCUGAGACGCGAAAGCGUGGGGAGCGAACAGG